GUAAGGCACGAUGUGGACUACAUCGUUGAUAGGCCGGAGGUGGAAGCACGGUAACGUGUGCAGCUGACCGGUACUAAUCCGCCGAGGGCUUGACCUU
rnacentral:rRNA from 1 species